AAUUCAUGGUGGGGGCAUCGCCGAGCAUGUCCUUGAACCUUUCCCAUGCUUCAUAUAGUGACUCUAUCUCCACCUACACAAACAUAGUAAUAUCAUUACGUAAUU